rnacentral:rRNA from 1 species
UACAGAGGGUGCGAGCGUUAAUCGGAAUUACUGGGCGUAAAGCGUGCGUAGACGGUUAUUUAAGUCGGGUGUGAAAGCCCCGGGCUCAACCUGGGAAUUGCAUUCGAGACUGAAUAGCUAGGGUACGGUAGAGGGAAGUGGAAUUUCCGGUGUAGCGGUGAAAUGCGUAGAUAUCAGGAAGAACACCCGUGGCGAAGGCGGCUCUCUGGGACGGUACUGACGCUGAGACGCGAAAGCGUGGGGAGCGAACAGG